rnacentral:lncRNA from 1 species
UUGAGAUAAGAGAUGCUACAUGAUUUAGCUUUGUAUAGACUUGUAUAUUUUAUGUAUACUCAGUGUAUAUUGUAGAUAUAUUUUCGGAAUUGGGUUGUAACUGGGCUGUGAUGAUUUGUGUGUCUGAGCCCAAUGUCCAUUAUUUAAUUUUGAGCCGUAUCACCCGAUCCGACCCGUCCAUGUGUAAUAACUAUAUAUGUAGGUGAGAUAUUUUCUCACCUACCGAGACUCAUUCUUUCAUUUCAUUUUCUGUAAUAUACUUCUCUCAUCUUC